GGACCCGUGGUCUAGUAGCUAUGACGUCCGCCUGACUCGCGGGAGAUCUCCGGUGCAAAUCCGGACGGGUCCA
rnacentral:tRNA from 1 species